GACGAACGCUGGCGGCGUGCUUAACACAUGCAAGUCGAGCGGUAAGGCCCUUUCGGGGGUACACGAGCGGCGAACGGGUGAGUAACACGUGGGUGACCUGCCCUCAGCUCUGGGAUAAGCCUGGGAAACCGGGUCUAAUACUGGAUAUGACUCCAUGACGCAUGUUGUGGGGUGGAAAGCCUUGUGCGGCUGAGGAUGGGCCCGCGGCCUAUCAGCUUGUUGGUGGGGUGANGGCCUACCAAGGCGACGACGGGUAGCCGGCCUGAGAGGACGACCGGCCACACUGGGACUGAGACACGGCCCAGACUCCUACGGGAGGCAGCAGUGGGGAAUCUUGCGCAAUGGGCGAAAGCCUGACGCAGCGACGCCGCGUGAGGGAUGACGGCCUGGUGUAAC
rnacentral:rRNA from 1 species